rnacentral:rRNA from 2 species
AACGCUGGCGGUGUGCCUAAUACAUGCAAGUCGAACGCGUUGGCCCAAUUGAUUGAUGGUGCUUGCACCUGAUUGAUUUUGGUCGCCAACGAGUGGCGGACGGGUGAGUAACACGUAGGUAACCUGCCCAGAAGCGGGGGACAACAUUUGGAAACAGAUGCUAAUACCGCAUAACAACGUUGUUCGCAUGAACAACGCUUAAAAGAUGGCUUCUCGCUAUCACUUCUGGAUGGACCUGCGGUGCAUUAGCUUGUUGGUGGGGUAACGGCCUACCAAGGCGAUGAUGCAUAGCCGAGUUGAGAGACUGAUCGGCCACAAUGGGACUGAGACACGGCCCAUACUCCUACGGGAGGCAGCAGUAGGGAAUCUUCCACAAUGGGCGCAAGCCUGAUGGAGCAACACCGCGUGAGUGAAGAAGGCUUUCGGCUCGUAAAGCUCUGUUGUUAAAGAAGAACACGUAUGAGAGUAACUGUUCAUACGUUGACGGUAUUUAACCAGAAA